ensembl:snRNA U6 U6 spliceosomal RNA
GUGCUUGCUAUGGCUGCACAUGUACUAAAAUUGGAUCGAUAAGGAGAAGAUUAGCAUGGCCCCUGCGAAAGGAUGACAUGCAAAUCCGUGAAGCGGUCCAUAUUUUU